CAAUCUACCUUUUACAGAGGGAUAGCCCAGAGAAAUUUGGAUUAAUACCUCAUAGUAUUAUGAAAUGGCAUCAUUUUAUAAUUAAAGUCACAACGGUAAAAGAUGAGCAUGCGUCCCAUUAGCUAGUUGGUAAGGUAACGGCUUACCAAGGCUACUAUGGGUAGGGGUCCUGAGAGGGAGAUCCCCCACACUGGUACUGAGACACGGACCAGACUCCUACGGGAGGCAGCAGUGAGGAAUAUUGGACAAUGGGCGCAAGCCUGAUCCAGCCAUGCCGCGUGCAGGAUGACGGUCCUAUGGAUUGUAAACUGCUUUUAUACGAGAAGAAACACUCCUUCGUGAAGGAGCUUGACGGUAUCGUAAGAAUAAGGAUCGGCUAACUCCGUGCCAGCAGCCGCGGUAAUACGGAGGAUCCAAGCGUUAUCCGGAAUCAUUGGGUUUAAAGGGUCCGUAGGCGGUAUAAUAAGUCAGUGGUGAAAGCCCAUCGCUCAACGGUGGAACGGCCAUUGAUACUGUUAAACUUGAAUUAU
rnacentral:rRNA from 1 species